UUACAACUUUUAAAAUUUUUAGAAAAUCUACUCGCUGUGCACUUUGCCGAGUGGAGAUCACACUGUGUUGUAAUCACAAAAAUCACGCAAGCAGUGCAAUCAACACACAAGUUGCCCCGACUGCCCAUUCGGAAAUUAGGGGCGGCUGAUCAGGGAUCUUAUGCGCUCGGCCAAAAUUGCGCCAACCAUUUGCCCGGGGCAUGAUGAUUUGUUUGGUGCUCGGGAUCGGAGCCGAGGAAAGCAACUAGAAAUGCAAUAUUCAUCAUUUUUUUUUUUUUUUUUUUCAUGAUCGACGACCGGGACACCGUUCUGGGAUGACCGGGAAAUACCGAUCAAAUAGCCUCCGGGAGGAAAUUCAACAACAGAUUGGGGCGGUGAUGACUAUGAAGCCCCCAUAGCUGGGUGACGGCCGUUCUGACUCGUUUCAAUUCUACCUAGUAUUUAUACGGCCAACCUCGAAUAUAAGAUGUGAAAAAUCCACGAUGGUUGAGUGAUUAACGGUCGGGGAAUGCGCUCUGCCACUUGGCUUGGUUGAGAAGCUGCCCAGAGUUUGGUUCCGACCGCUGGCUCGGGAGAGAAUGCAACACCAGCAUCUUUUACAACUGCUUGGGGAGUUGAUCGGUCAACAAGAUCGGGGAGUUGAUCGGGGGUACCAACUCAAUGAUCCACCUGCCUGGUGAUGUCGAUCGGCGAGAAAAUGUCCGGUGGAUGAUGGGGAGCUCGGACAACUGAAAACCGUUGCUGCUCGGUUAACUUCAAAUAGUGGAAGGUCUGUCAUGGCUUUAAGCAUGCAUGCACUAUACUUGAUCUCUGGGUGUCAUGCCACCAACAUUGAAAACAACGAGACCGGCUGGCCAAGUCGGGUAAACAGCCGGGAAACUAUGAACAAUAAGGAACCGGUGAUCGGGAAAAUUUGCGACUAUGGUAUAUAUGCUCAGCUUGUAGGCGGCAGCGCUGACUAUCGGACAUCAGUUCUGAGAGCUGGGGGAGGCGGGAGUAUGGAGCCUUCAAUUUCUUGAAUUAUAUAAAUCUAAAUGGACGGUCGUGUGUGACGGGACUUGUGCUCGGUAAUGUAUACUCAAACUGACAGCUCGGGCGUGUCUCUCUUGGCACAGAUGAUCGGGAGAAAUAGACCGGACGGCGUGAAACUCUAGAUGACCAGUACCCGGUACAAUAAUCUGCUCGGUGAUGCUAUUUUAUCCGGAUUGGAAACUCGGGAACUUCUGAGAAGGCUCGGUGAAGCCGGUCUGACCAAUGCCAAUUCUGCUUGAUAUAUAUUCAGUUAGAGAUGGGUGUCGAUCGGUCUAUCCGCAUGGCUUGUACACUUUUUUUUUUGGCGGUCGGGAAUAUGCUCUGUCACUGCGGUCGGCGUCUGAGGUACGUUCGAGAAUACGUUGCUGAGAAAAGACCGGGGAAGCUUGGAUUGUGACCGGGACCAUCUGAGGUUGAACCGAUCGGGAACAUUUUAGAUUGACAGCUUGUUCUGUACCGGUCAUAGCAGAAUGAGAAACCAUUUGUGAUGGCAACUCGGGUUCUUUUAAACGGAGGGUUGUGAUCGAUCAGACUUGGAAUACACCUGCCUUCCCAUAAUGAUCGAUGUGAUAGGGAUCAUGUUCGACAUUGCUUGCUGAUCCAAGAUGGCAGCUCGGUUCUUCAUGAACUUCGUUAAUUGUUCGCUCGGCGAAGGUCAGGAAGAUAAUUAUGGCCGGUGGUGUUCCGGUCGGUUGCACGAGACGUUCAUGUUGGUCAAUCGGGAACGGUGAGAAUGCCAACCAUGGCUCUGCCCCGAUCCAUAGUGCAUAACGCUAUUUGUUUAUGGUUGUGGGAGACUUGGUAUGAGACUACAAGGUCGAGAAAGUCAGAAUAACGAAACUCUGACCGGGAGCUACUACCAUAUCCCCCUUACACCGAGCAGGUUCGGAGGAUGCUCCGGAAAAUCUGUUCGGGGAGAAAUCGUUGCCGGCAAGCUUGUCGACCAUCAAGGAUACCGCCGGGUGCUUGGGCUCAUUCCGGAGACUGAUUUUCACCUUACAUGCAUUUUUCCUUUCUAUUUUUACCUUUUUUUCUCCAUUAUCUUGGUUUCCCCACUUCACCGCCACCAAUUACCAAUUAUAUUACAUGCAAAGCUUAACUUUUAAUUUCCUUUUGUUUCGCAGAAGACCACCGUCACUUUCCACCACUUACAUUGCAUGCACACUCAGCUUCACCUUUUCUCAAAUUCAAGGCCACUAUUUGCAACUAUUUCCUCAUUACUAUCCCCCACCUUUUAUCUGGGUUUUCUUCAAGGAACAAGAAGAAACACCCAAGAAACAAUGGACGUAAGAUUGAGGCAGUCUUUUGGGAACCUUGAUGACAUGAAGUGUGCAAGGGUUGGUGGCUGUGGGUGAUAGGAUUGCCACAGGCUCGUAGCUUCUCCGGUGAAUUAUACGGAUGGUUGUAAGUGGUAAGGUACACUUCUCAUUUCUAGUAUCCUCUGCUUCUUCUUGCUUUUGUGGAUGGCAUGCACGGCAUUUCUUGAAGUGGUGAUGAGGAUGACAAUACUCCAGUAUUAACAGAGAAUAAAUAACUCCAUUGGAAAAUAAUGAUCUGCAAGAGGCAAAGAGAAUGAAACAAGAAACAUAGUGGUAUAGCGGUUGGGAUACCAGCUUAGUAGCUUGAGAGCUUGGGUCCGAACCCCCUCCUUUCUAAAAUCUGUGGUGAUUGCUUGUAAAUUCUAUAUCUUCUCCAAAUUUUUAGUAGCUUUUCCAGAAUUUUUGUAAUUCUUGCUCUUUGCUUGUUGGUGAGAACGUAACUCUUUGUCACGUUCCCCAGAGACGGUGCCAAAAUGAUACUGUUAAUACCCGUGUACGUAAGAUAUAUGUAUGUAUGUAUUGUAUGUGUAUGAA